UGGGAUAAACCGUAAUCGUACCCCCUCCUAACUGCCAAAGUGUCAUGGCCGCCGUCGGGACCUAUUGUGCUGACAUUUACAAUGUUUACAUAUAGAAAAGUUUGUUUUUUUCUGCUUAUAAUGCCGUUUUCUAAAGAUAUUAGUGAACAAAAUCGAUUUGCUAACAAUAUUUAAUAUAUUUUAAAUGUGCUAAAAUUGGAUUCAACAGCAAAAGUCGCAUAAAUAACAUAUAAAUAACGAAUUUGUUCACCUAUUACAAAUGGGGUUAUGUGGUUGUAACUGUUUAUUUUGGGAAUAAAAUGAAAAUGAUCAAUUAAACGACUGGAAAACUAUAGUGAAGUGAAGAACAUCUUGAAGUUCCAAUGAUGUUUCAAGAUGAGAUAAAUCGAAAUAAUGGUUGUAUGUUAGAAGGACAGAGAAUAUGAAGAAAUGUUAUUGCUGCAUAUUUAGUGUAGUGAAAUACAAACUUCAAACAUUAUAAUAUAUUUUUUGAUUUCAAACAUUUCAUAUGAUUAUGAAAGAACAUCUUUCUUUUUAAAACAAUGAAGAAGUGAAGAACAUAAUAAAGUUCCAACGAAAAUGAUUCCAGAUGAGGAAAAUCGAAAUAAUGGUUGUAUGUUACAUGUAUAGAGAAUACGAAGAAAUGUUAUUGCUGCAAACUUAGUGUAGUGAAUUAAAAACUUAUUGUCAAAUACAAAUCAAUUUAUUUCAUACUUUUAUAAUAUAUAGUGAUAUAAUUUUAUAUGUGUUCAAAUAAAAAUAUUAAUAAAUAAAAUACAAUAAACACAAA